GAAGCGCAGCGCAUAAAGAGGAGCCACUGGAUAGAACGUCCCUCUAGUUGUGGUCCUCGAGCAAACACGAGGUCUACCACGGCAGGUUCGAAAGCUCCACCAUCAAACUCCCUCCCCCCCUCGUACGCUCUCUUUAUCUCCGCAUCCCUUGCUUCUCUUGUCCGCGUUCGGUUUCCAGACCAACUCUAAAAGCGCCAAGCCUCGCCCUCCCUUCAAUUUUUCACAAAUGGAGUUGUGCAUGGCGACGCUCUCUCGUGCCCACACUGCCGUUGCCCCGUUUCUCUCUGCGCCUCCGCUCUCGUCGCGCGUACGCGAUUUCAGGAAACUCAGUGUAGUCUGCCUUUGUAGAAUUAACUCCGAAUCCACCGAGUCUCCCAAGGACACUCAGAUGGUUGUAUCAAUAACUGGAGCUACUGGUUUUAUUGGUCGAAGAUUGGUUCAAAAGUUACUUUCAGAUAAACACAAAGUUCGUGUUUUAACACGAUCCAGAACAAAGGCACAAUUCGUUUUUCCUGUUGAGAAUUUUCCUGAAAUUAUAAUUGCUGAGGAAGAAGAAUGGAGAAAAUGCAUUGAAGGGUCAAAUGCUGUUGUUAACUUAGCUGGAAUGCCCAUAAGUACAAGAUGGUCACCUGAGAUCAAAAAGGAGAUUAAGCAAAGCCGUAUUAGUGUUACCUCAAAGGUCGUAGGUUUAAUAAACCACACUAGUGCGGAAGUCCGACCUUCAGUUUUGGUCAGUGCAACAGCUAUUGGUUAUUAUGGCACAAGUGAAACUCAAGUCUUUGAUGAGACUAGUCCUUCAGGAAAUGACUACCUAUCAGAGGUUUGUAGAGAGUGGGAAAUGAAGGCACAUAACGUAGAUAAUGGUGUUAGAUUGGUACUUAUUCGCAUUGGUAUCGUUCUUGGCAAAGAUGGAGGUGCUCUGGCUAAAAUGAUUCCCCUUUUCGUGAUGUUUGCUGGCGGACCAUUAGGCACUGGAAAACAAUGGUUUUCCUGGAUACAUCUGGAUGACUUGGUGAACCUCAUAUGUGAAUCUUUAACAAAUCCUUCUUACAGAGGUGUAAUCAACGGAACUGCUCCAAACCCAGUUCGGAUGUCAGAGAUGUGUGAUCAACUGGGCCAAGUUAUAGGCCGGCCUUCUUGGCUGCCUGUACCAGAUUUUGCUAUCAAAGCAGUCCUCGGUGAAGGUGCCUCUGUUGUUUUGGAAGGGCAAAGAGUGCUACCUGCAAAGGCGAAGGAGUUGGGUUUCUCAUAUAAAUAUCCAUAUGUCAAAGAUGCACUGGAGGCCAUUGUCGGGGGGCUGUAAUGAGGCCAUUACUUUACUGGGAUGUCAUUAUAUUUAUUCUUACUUUGAAGCUUUGCUGGUUCACUUCUUUGAGCAAAUCUUCCACUACGCAAUCUCCAUCCUGGAGACAAUCAACAAGAGGUCAACACAGAUGCAACCGGAGUCCGACCCUAAAUUGUGCUAGCUUUGGAUGCAUGCAUGCAUGCAUGCAUACAUCCAUCAAUCAAUGCAUACAUAAAGAUGGAGGUCAAAUUGUUUUGGGUUUAGGAGCUCAGCUUAAAGGCAUGGAUUGGCUUUCAAUUCGACCUAAAUGUAUCCAAUUUCCACCUUGUUUGGGCCCUUCUUGUCCUGUCCUGGUGCGUCAAGAAACUCAUUGGUUGAUGAAAAUGGUAAUGGGUAGAUAGGUGUAUACAGGUUAUUUACGUAAUACAAUUUUACUUAUUUAUACUGAGAAAUAAUAACUUCUCACUUUGAUGGUUACCUCCUAUGUUGGGCUUCACUUUUGGUGGUUCAGGUAAUUGACGUCAGCUAUCCUCCUACUAUAUAUCUUGAUCGUAUGCUACUGCCAGAGUAGUAGUCAUUCAAUUAGUCAAAAUCUUUGCUAUGUCUCCAUUCGGGUUACUUAAUAUCAAUACACUUAUGGUCACUCAUGCAUAUUCAACCUUUGGUGAGAUGCUCUUGGUCAACUUCA